UCGGUCUGCGCCGGAAGUGCAUGAGCUGCCGAUGUGGUGCUUAGUGAUUGCGGUUUCGGUCGCUCUCCCGUGUUUCCCGGGCUGGGUAUUUGCCUCGCACCAUGGCGGGCGAGCAAGAGGCGAUUGAUCCUAGCUGCGGGUGCUGGAGAGAUGGCGUCAGCCCUAGGCAGAAUGGACUGGAGGAUGGGUGGACAUCCCAGGGAUUUUGCUAGGUUUCUGCACUACGGGGACCUGGCUGAGUUGCGGAUGGAGCUCUAUAGCUCACCAGGCUGGUGGGGAGAAUGAGGAGGACCGUGGCCUCCUGACGGCAUCUCAUCAUUCCUCUGCAGCCCAAGGGCAAAGUGGGCACGAGAGGGAAGAAGCAGAUAUUUGAAGAGAACAGAGAGACUCUGAAGUUCUACCUGCGGAUCAUACUGGGGGCCAAUGUAAGUGCCUACCUCCUUGCUUCUAUGCCCACUUAUAGUCAGUUCCCUAGUCCUCAGCCCUGCUUGGUGACGAGGAGUGGUACCCGAAAAAGCUCUAGAAGAGAGCUCCAGUCAAAAAGAAAUGAGAGAUCUGGGCACAGAGAAAGUGCUAACUAGUAAAACACAAAGAAAAUGAAGGCGUGAGUCGUAGCUGAAUUUGAGAGCUCUUCCUACCUCCAAGUACACAAAGGCUUCUUUCCUGGGCUGAGUUGGGUGUCAGAGGAGAGUGGGUAUUUGGGAUUCAGGGAGCAGGGCCCUUUCUUCAACCCUGUAAGAACAACCUUGCUCCUCCCACAGCCUGGCCUAAUUCUUGGUCAGAGUUGAGGGAGACC
rnacentral:lncRNA from 1 species